rnacentral:lncRNA from 1 species
AUCAACACCCAUAAAUCAAAUGCAUUUCUAUACAUCAGUGAUGAAUCUAUGAAAGAGAAAUUAGGAAAACUACCCCAUUCACAAAACCUCAAAAAAAUAAAAUAAAAUACUUGGGAAACAAUCUAAACAAACACAUGAAAGAUCUAUACAAUGAAAACUACAGAAUGCUACAGAAAGAAAUUGAAGAAAACAUAGAAGAUGGAAAGUCCUUCCACACUCCUGGAUAGGCAGAAUUAAUAUUGUCAAAAAGGUCAUACUACCAAAAGUGUUAUACAGAUUUAAUGCAAUUCCUAUUAAAAUCCCAAUUAUAUACUUCAUAGAACUAGAAAAAGCAAUCGUGGAAUUCAUUUGGAAAAAUAAGAGAUCUAGAAUAGACAAAGCAAUCCUUAGUAAAAAGAGUGAAGCAGGAGGCAUCCCGAUACCAAACUUUAAACUAUAAUAAGAGCCAUAGUUUUAAAAUAAAAAACAGCAUGGUUUUGGCACCAAAACAGACACAUAAACAAUGGUACAGAAUAGAAGACAUAGAGACAAACCCACAUAAAUAGAGUUAUCUCAUAUUAGACAAAGGCACCAAAAAUAUUCACUGGAUAAAAGAUAACAUCUUCAACAAAUGGUGCUGGGAAAACUAGAAAUCCACAUGUAACAAAAUGAAAUUAAACCCCUAUCUCUCACCUGCAUAAAAUUCAACUCAAAGUAGAUCAAAGACUUAGGCACUAGAAUAGAGACCUGGUGCCUAAUAGAAGGAAAAAGUAGACCUAAAUCUUCACCAUGUUGGCCUAGGAUCUGUCUUCCUUAAUAAGACUCCUGAAGCACAAGAAGUAAAAUUAAGAAUCAAUAAAUGGGGAAAAAAAGCUUCUUCUCAGCAAAGGAAACAAUCAACAACAUGAAGGGAGGGCCUAUAGAAUGAGAGAAAAGUCUUUACCAUAUGCACCUCAGAUAGAGCAUUAAUCUCUAGGAUAUAUAAAGAACUCAAAAAACUUAACACCAGAAAAACAACCCAAUCAAUAAACGGUUUAAGGAACUGAACAGACACUUCAUAGAAGAAGAAAUACAAUCCAUCAACAAACAUAGAAAGAAUAUUCAACAUCUCUAGCAAUUAGAGAAAUGCAAAUCAAAACUACUCCAAGAUUUCAUCUCACUCCAGUCAGAAUGGCAAUUUUCAAGAAUACAAGCAAUAGUGGGAUUGGGAGGUAGAGCAUGGGAGGAAUAGAUGAAUUCUAG